CAAGUAGAACGCUGAGGUUUGGUGUUUACACUAGACUGAUGAGUUGCGAACGGGUGAGUAACGCGUAGGUAACCUGCCUCAUAGCGGGGGAUAACUAUUGGAAACGAUAGCUAAUACCGCAUAAGAGUAAUUAACACAUGUUAGUUAUUUAAAAGGAGCAAUUGCUUCACUGUGAGAUGGACCUGCGUUGUAUUAGCUAGUUGGUGAGGUAAAGGCUCACCAAGGCGACGAUACAUAGCCGACCUGAGAGGGUGAUCGGCCACACUGGGACUGAGACACGGCCCAGACUCCUACGGGAGGCAGCAGUAGGGAAUCUUCGGCAAUGGACGGAAGUCUGACCGAGCAACGCCGCGUGAGUGAAGAAGGUUUUCGGAUCGUAAAGCUCUGUUGUUAGAGAAGAACGUUGGUAGGAGUGGAAAAUCUACCAAGUGACGGUAACUA
rnacentral:rRNA from 1 species